rnacentral:misc_RNA from 1 species
GUCGGCCUCUUUCAUUCGGUGCGCGUUUCAACGCCUCGUCGCGGCCCUUGAAGCAAAGAAGUCCGCAAGGGUCCGAACUCUUGCGCGAGAGAAAGCUGUAGUUUACACCGCAACAUUAAGACGACGCCAAGCUCUGCACGAUUUGUAGGUUUGUUCGCCCCGAGAACGAUGUCGACGACUUCGGAAAAAACGUGCAACUGUUGACUACUUCGAUAACGUGUCGCGUUGUGCAGCUAAUCAUCCUGUGGCUCAGGCAGCUUGCGCGAGGGAGGCAUUACGGACAAGGGAAGCUGCGACUGGCGGCGAAGCGCGAGCAUCGCAAUGAAGCCAGCCGAGGUCCCGUCGCUGUCGUUCAGGUCGUUCGAGGCGGUCUACGUGUUUCUGGCGGUGCUGUACGCGUUGACUGCGACCAACCUGUACUUACACCUCACCGGGGAUUCGUCGUCGUUCACCGAUCGUGAGUGCGCGAGAUGUUGCGGCGUUUCGGUGGAAGAGUCCACUACUCGCGAUGCACACGUGUCAGGAGCCGACGCCGGUCGCGUAAAGCGUAGCAGCAGCAGGUCGACGAUGUCGCGCAAACCGGGUCGCGCGGCCGUCGAGGAGCCCGUGUACGCGAGGAUAUCGCCCAAGGCGGCGGCGGUGCCAAACGUGGAGUUCUUCCCGCGAAACGACAUGACCAGCCACGACGGCAACACCAUGCUCGUCAGCUCGUACGCCAGGAUACCGGUGCCGGUUCUAGAGGAAUUCUGCUUCACAUCGAAAGAGUACUGCGGACCUGGGGACCCGGGACAUCCGGGAAAACCUGGCAUUCCGGGAUACCCGGGAGAGAAAGGGGACAUGGGGCUGCGAGGGCUACCGGGAUUACCGGGAAGCCCAGGCCCCGUUGGUCCCGUCGGACCCCCGGGAUUGAAGGGAGACAAAGGCUCCAUUGGUGAAACCGGGCCCGCAGGUCUGGACGGAAGGGACGGUCUUCCCGGCCAGCCUGGACUUGACGGAAUUCCGGGGCCCCAGGGUCCGGAUGGACGUCCAGGUGUUAACGGAAGAGACGGCCUAGACGGCAUUCCGGGACGAAACGGCACCGACGGAGCCGACGGUAAGGACGGGCUUCCGGGUCCUCAAGGAUCACCUGGGGCCAAAGGAGCCGCAGGCAUUCCUGGGCCACGGGGCAAAAGGGGACUACCCGGUCAGCCGGGAACUCCUGGUAUUCCCGGCAUCACCGCAUGGGCAGUGAACGGCUCCCGCACACACAAGACGGAGGGCCUGCUCAUACCUCCGGCCAUCGUGGAUGCGCAAACGGUGCAGACGGUGACCAUCCGCGAGGGCGAGAAUGUGCGGCUUCACUGCUCGGCUACGGGCCAGCCGGAACCCGUGGUCACGUGGAGGAGGGAGAACGGCAGACCCAUCUACGGACAACGCUUCCACGAAUCGCUCGUCGAGGACCGCCAGCUGAACCUGACCCAUGUGACGCGGGAGGAGAUGGGUCGAUACUUCUGCACUGCAUCCAAUGGGGUGCCGGUCGAAGCCACCAAGGAAGUUCUUUUGGAAGUUACCUUUCCUCCGUUCGUGCGCAUCAAGCAGUGGUCGGUGGCGACGGCUGUGGGUGGUUGGGCACUGCUCGAGUGCCACGUCGAGGCCUUCCCGACGGCUGUGAACACGUGGACGCUACGCUCGGGGCGAUUCCUCGAGGACGGCCCCAAGUACCGGGUGCGUGAAUACGACCGCGGCUACACCACCCUCAUGACGCUCAACGUGACCGACGUGGGGCCGCAAGACUUCGGACUCUACCACUGCGUCAGCAAGAACGCCCUCGGACAGGCCAUCGGAUCGCUCACCGUCUACAGUGAAGACGAGAGGACAGAGGAGUUCGACGAUUCGGAGAGGACCGCCGGCCAAACGCCUCCGACUAAGCAGACCAUGGGCGACUGCAAGCGAUGUCCGGAUUGCACAAGCGCUCGGCUGAAGACUUGUGGUCCAGGAAUGCUGACGGACAUCAUCAACGUCCAGAACGUCGACAGCACGGUGAACAGGACUAACUGGAUUGCAAGGAGACCACGUAACCAGGAGUGCCUGGUGACGCGCCGCGUGAUCGAGCGUAUCGGCAAGCCGGUGCUAAACCGAAAGCCCGGCGGCCACUUCAGCAACUGGAUGCGGGAGAGCACCCCGUUCGACCCGAACACCAUCUACGUGGCCAACGAACUGGACGGCAUGUCUCUCCUCGAGUUCCCCUCCAAGGCGGCCUUCCAGUCCGGCACUGGUCACCGCACGCUGCGGCUUCCGGCUCCUUUCCACGGCAACGGACAGUUGCUGUACAACGGCUCGCUCUACUACCACCAGAACGACACUAACUACGUGGUCCGGGUUCCCUUGGCUGCCCGAGGCAGCGGAGAUCCGCUCAAAGUGACCGCUCGGCUGAAGCUGGACGACGCCGUGUUCCGCAACGGCAGCUACCUGUACGCGGCGCAGAGGAACUACGUGAACAUCUUGGCCGACGAGAACGGCCUGUGGCUCAGCUAUUCCAGCCGCAGGUCCAACAACACAAUGAUACUCAAGGUGCACGAGGAGAGCCUGAGGCCCGAGUACAUCUGGAACCUGACCGUUGACCACCGGCAGGUGGCGCACCUGUUCGUCGUGUGCGGCGUGUUGUAUGCGGUGAAUAGUCUGAGUGAGCACAGCACCGAGGUUGGCCUCGCCUACGACCUCUACUCCGACGCGCUCCUGACGGACGUGCCUCGGCUGAACUACAGCAACCCGUUCGGCAACACCACCUUCCUCACGUACAACCCGGGCGACGCGUCACUCUACACGACCGACAGCGGCAACCAGCUCAUCUACCCGCUGCUCUUCAACGUCACCGAGGGACAACCCAAGAACGGAGGCUCCGCGGGAUCAAACUAGGCCCUCUGCACGCUUCCACAUCCUAAAGAGCGCAAUAGCGGAACUUCCGGUCAACGUCACAUGCGAGAUUGGCACGUGAUCUGAGCAGGAACGUCACACACGACGUGAUUCGCAGUAUCUAGAGACAUUCCUUGUUCAACUAUUUAUCACCCCUGCAGGUCUCCAUCUUCACCUGAACUUAUGUCUGGCCUGGCGUGCG